rnacentral:lncRNA from 1 species
UCUCCCCUCAGUCCAUCCUCCGGCCAUCGGUCGGUCAUCGGCCCUUCGCCGGCCACCGCACCGGCCGCCUAUCUCCGUGCCGGCACCACCGUCCGCGGUUGCCGGGAAAGGGGAAAAUUCCCCUUUUAACCUUCUCAACCUCCUGAGCCUAGAUCCGGGCUCAAAUCUCACGAAAUAUUGACGAAAGGGCCCCCAGAAACAGAGAAACCUUUCGGCUUCCGGUCGUCAAUCCUCGGUGACGACUUCCUCGGCCAUCCGCAGUGGUUAGGGCUCGAAUAUAGGUUUUUUCCUUCCUUUUAUAUUUAUAUUAUUUAUAUAAAUAAUAAAAAUAAAUAGAUAUAACGGAAAAAUAAAAUAGAAAUGCAAAUAUCAACCUUUAAUCGACUAUGCUCUCUGUAUUGCGAAAGUAAAAGCCUCGAUUUUUAUUCGAUUUUUCGAUCUCUAUUACAAUGUAUUUGAUGUCCUUUUAUAGUCGAAUGAAAAUAAAUCAAAGAAAGAAUAAAUCUAAAUAUAUCUUUGAUUCUCAAAUCUAUGAUUUUCUUUCCAUAUGUUGUUUGUUUCCUUGCAGGUGAAGAUCGGGGAAGAUUUGGAGGCUUGCGGCGCUGCCGAAAUCCUAGGGUUUCUGUCUGUAGUUUGGGCCACCGUAACUUUGGGCCUUGUUUGUUUUAUUAUUUGGGCCAUAUAGGCCUAUUUGUAAUGCGGGUUUUUUUUUAACCCGGGCAAAAUAUGGC